rnacentral:rRNA from 1 species
AACCCUUGUCCUUAGUUACCAGCACGUUAUGGUGGGCACUCUAAGGAGACUGCCGGUGACAAACCGGAGGAAGGUGGGGAUGACGUCAAGUCAUCAUGGCCCUUACGGCCUGGGCUACACACGUGCUACAAUGGUCGGUACAAAGGGUUGCCAAGCCGCGAGGUGGAGCUAAUCCCAUAAACCGAUCGUAGUCCGGAUCGCAGUCUGCAACUCGACUGCGUGAAGUCGGAAUCGCUAGUAAUCGUGAAUCAGAAUGUCACGGUGAAUACGUUCCCGGGCCUU